rnacentral:tRNA from 1 species
GGCGACGUGGCGGAGUGGUUACGCAGGGGUCUGCAAAACCCCGUACACCAGUUCAAUUCUGGUCGUCGCCUCCA